ACGGAAGGUCCAGGCGUUAUCCGGAUUUAUUGGGUUUAAAGGGAGCGUAGGCCGCUUGGUAAGUGGGCAGUGAAAUGCAGAGGCUCAACCUCUGACUUGCUGUUCAAACUGCCGGGCUUGAGUACGCACGAGGUAGGCGGAAUUUGUGGUGUAGCGGUGAAAUGCGUAGAUAUCACGAGGAACACCAGUGGCGAAGGCGGCUUACUGGACUGCAACUGACGCUGAAGCGCGAAAGUGCGGGUAUCAAACAG
rnacentral:rRNA from 1 species